GCCCUGGUAGCUCAGUGGAUAGAGCAGAGGACUUCUAAGCCUAAGGUCGUUGGUUCAAUUCCAACCCAGGGUA
rnacentral:tRNA from 1 species